AUGGUUUUAUCGGGGGUUUCUGCUUUGCUUCUUCCUCAUUUUGUUUUGCCACUCUCAUGUAAGAAAUGCCUUUCACCUCCCACCACGAUCCUGAGGCCUUCCAGUCAUAUGGAACCAGUCUGUGAGUAAGCUGACAAGAAAGAAGUGAAUAUUGAAGUUUUUAACAUCAAUAAUAAGGCUCCAGUUGUUCAUUCUUCGAAUCAUGGUGAAAUAGCUAAAACGGCAAUGAAUUGAGAUGAUCAUAAUAGUGACAACGAAGACAAUGUUAACACUGCCCAAAAAGAAUGUAUAGAUGAUGUGGUAAAAAGGUGUGAUGAGUUUAUUAAAGGAGAGUUAAUGAGUAGAUGACUCUGGGGGAAAUAUGUGGAAAGCCAUCCACAAGAAACUCUCCUCAUUUUUAGAAAACACACUUCCUGGUCCCUCAACUGGUUUGAUGUUUGUAUUCAGCACCCCCCAAAAUAAAAUAAGUUGCACAUAAACCAUCUAAUCAAAAUACAGCACCAUGGUGGAGACCGGAAGCCUGGCGUUGUUUGUUGUUGCUGCUGUCUAACAACUGAUGUUAACUAUUCUGGCGAUGUUACUAUGCUGUUUUGUUACUCAGAACACAUGAGCUUUCACUGUAUUAAUUGUAUGUCACAUUUUUCUGCUACAUACUUAUGUAUGAAUAAGCCAAAGGAAAUGAUCGCUUAUCAGUAGUGCAUAGUAGUGUAUACCUUUAGAGACAGGAAUGCUGGUGUCAAACAAGCAGACUGUCCACAUGGGUGGCUGAGAGAGCGACAGUGACUGUGCUUUCUGGUGGUUUAAUGUAUAUAACCUGGUUGGUGCACAAAUUAAUUAAAAAUAUUGUAUAAAAUCAUCUGCAAGCUAUGUAUAUGAGGUGUCUAUAAAAUGGAAAUGGUUUUGUUUUUACACUUAUGUCCCAGUCCCUAAAGUAUCUCAUUGUGAGUAUGCAAAUAUUCCAAAAUAUGAAAUACUCUGAAAUCUAACACAUAUCUGGUAUCAAGAAUUUUUAGACAAGGUUUACUCCAUCUGUACCACUUACCAUGUUACAAAUUGAUAGUUAAGUGUCUCUUUAUUCAAAACUGAGUUUCUAAAUAAUAAGAUACAACACAUUAUUGCAUAUGAUUUGAAACUGAAUGCUUACUGUCAGUUUUGAAGCUUGAAGCUUUAUGUCAAAAUGUUUAUUAUUAUUGCAAAUGAUUUAUGUAGCCUGUCCAUCAUCCUUAUAUUAUUAAAAUUUUAGUUGACUUGAUCAAUAUUUAAAAAAGAUAUAAAUAUUAAAAAAUUAGAAGUUCUCAAAUUGGAGUUAUCACUGCUUACCCAGGAUUUGGUUAAUACUUUUUCUUAACCACAGGAGAUAAAAAUAGACAGUCAAUGUAUAUAAUAAAAAUUAAACUAGG
rnacentral:lncRNA from 1 species